GCUCUCGGGAAUCUCCCAUUCAAAGAGAGAGCCUCGACUCCAUGACCUGGGGAAAGACCACCUGCCUGAGUCCACAUGGGCACCAAUCCCUGCUCUGCUGGAGGUCCUUAGACCGUUGACUCUCCUGAACCUCAGUUUCCUGCUCUGUAAAAUGGGCAGGAAAUGUCUCCUGGGGAUGGUGAGCAUAAAGAAGACAUAACGCCCCUGCACGUUAACAGCUACCAUGUCCUAAGCUGGAAGGAUGCUAGGAUGCUGAGAACAAAGGACACAGGUCUUGCCCUCAAGUGGCCCGCAGCCCAGUGAGAGGGAGCCCAAGUGGCUGGUGUCAAGGGCUGCUCUGAGGUGCCCGGUGGAUACUGACUGGUAGAUGGACUGACGACUUGGCGUUUUCUUGCUGAGCUUCCUUUCCCGGAAGCAACAAACCCCGACAGGGAGCACUAGCCUCUGCUCACCCAGGACUCUGGAAAUGUACUCCCACCUCGGAUCGCUGGCAUCUUGUACCGCUGCCUGCCCACCUGACCAGAUCCCCUCUGAACUCUGCCACCGUGAAGACCUGCUUUCUCUGACACCAGCCAUCUGGUCAGCAGCUGGGAAGUCAAGCCCAAGGUGUCCUGGGACCACCCCCCCCAAAAAAAAAAUGAGCAUCUCCUAUCCUCUGCAGGACUGCCAGGGGAAGAGAAAUGAGAUGAGUCUGUGGCACAGAGAAUAGGAACAGGCCCACUGCGGACAAAAUAAAGGACUGUUGUGCUAAGUGGCUUCAGUUGUGUCUGACUCUUUGUAACCCUAUGGACUGUAGCCCGCCAGGCUCCUCUGUCCAUGGGAUUUCCCAGGCAAGAAUACUGGAGUAGGUUGACCAUGCCCUCCUCCAGGGGAUCUUCCCAACCCAGGGAUUGAACACACGUCUCUUAUGUCUCCUGCAUUGGCAGGCGGGUUCUUUACCACUAG
ensembl:lncRNA